rnacentral:rRNA from 1 species
ACUCCUACGGGAGGCAGCAGUGGGGAAUAUUGCACAAUGGGCGGAAGCCUGAUGCAGCGACGCCGCGUGAGGGAUGACGGCCUUCGGGUUGUAAACCUCUUUCAGCAGGGAAGAAGCGGAAGUGACGGUACCUGCMGAAGAAGCACCGGCUAACUACGUGCCAGCAGCCGCGGUAAUACGUAGGGUGCGAGCGUUGUCCGGAAUUAUUGGGCGUAAAGAGCUUGUAGGCGGUUUGUCGCGUCUGCUGUGAAAAUCCGGGGCUCAACCCCGGACUUGCAGUGGGUACGGGCAGACUAGAGUGUGGUAGGGGAGACUGGAAUUCCUGGUGUAGCGGUGGAAUGCGCAGAUAUCARGAGGAACACCGAUGGCGAAGGCAGGUCUCUGGGCSRCKRSUGACGCUGAGAAGCGAAAGCAUGGGGAGCGAACAGGAUUAGAUACCCUGGUAGUCCAUGCCGUAAACGUUGGGAACUAGGUGUGGGUCUCAUUCCACGAGAUCCGUGCCGCAGCUAACGCAUUAAGUUCCCCGCCUGGGGAGUACGGCCGCAAGGCUAAAACUUAAAGGAAUUGACGG